rnacentral:rRNA from 1 species
UGGGGAAUAUUGGACAAUGGGGGCAACCCUGAUCCAGCAAUUCCGCGUGUGUGAAGAASGCCUGCGGGUUGUAAAGCACUUUCAGUAGCCAAGAUGGGAUUAUUUGCUAAUAUCAGAUAAUCUUGACAUUAACUACAGAAGAAGCACCGGCUAACUCCGUG